rnacentral:rRNA from 1 species
GACGAACGCUGGCGGCGUGCCUAAUACAUGCCAGUAGAACGCUGAAGAGAGGAGCUUGCUCUUCUUGGAUGAGUUGCGAACGGGUGAGUAACGCGUAGGUAACCUGCCUUGUAGCGGGGGAUAACUAUUGGAAACGAUAGCUAAUACCGCAUAACAAUGGAUGACCCAUGUCAUUUAUUUGAAAGGGGCAAAUGCUCCACUACAAGAUGGACCUGCGUUGUAUUAGCUAGUAGGUGAGGUAACGGCUCACCUAGGCGACGAUACAUAGCCGACCUGAGAGGGUGAUCGGCCACACUGGGACUGAGACACGGCCCAGACUCCUACGGGAGGCAGCAGUAGGGAAUCUUCGGCAAUGGGGGCAACCCUGACCGAGCAACGCCGCGUGAGUGAAGAAGGUUUUCGGAUCGUAAAGCUCUGUUGUAAGUCAAGAACGAGUGUGAGAGUGGAAAGUUCACACUGUGACGGUAGCUUACCAGAAAGGGACGGCUAACUACGUG